rnacentral:tRNA from 1 species
CAGAGAAUAGUUUAAAUAAAAUAUUAAUUUUGGAGAUUAAUGAUAGAAGUUCUUUUUUUUUCUCUGA